rnacentral:lncRNA from 1 species
GUUCCCUCUCUCGCUGGCUAUCUCUGUUAAAUAAAUAAAUAAAUCUUUAAAAAAAAAAAAUUCUUAUGUUAAGGUUGGCCCUUUAUUCAAUCAUGGUGCUACAAACAUGUUGUCUUUCACCUUUUACCCUAAUGUUCUUUUCAUCCCCCAUUUAAAGCUUUUUAAACAGUCUAAUUUAUUUUCUUUCUGGCUUUCUGGGUUUUGUGUCUUGUUUAGAAAAGCCGUCCUCACUUCAAAAAUAUUUUGUGAAAUUACUUAAUAAUUUCUCCCAGAAUUUUUCUUGGUUAAAUUUAAGACUCUGGAAAUAAUUUUAAGCUAGAAAUCAGUCCUAAUGUUUGUCUUUUCUACUGUUGCUCAGUGAUCCAGCUUCCUGGAAGUUUCAGGACAAUCCAGAUUUCCCAGAUCCCUGGCUUAUUGGCACAUUGCUUGUUGUGACCUAGAACGCCCAAGUCCUCUCCUGUGAACCGAGUUCUUGGUUCAGACCCCAGGGGGAAACUGUGCAGACCAUUCUCACUGGGGCCCCACAGGGACCUGGAUGACCAUGUGACUCAGUCACAGACUGUAGCACUUCCUCUGUAAAUUUGGCUGGCUCCUGCCCCCUCUUCCCUCCCAUCCCAGCUGUGCUGAGCCUUGCCAGCUCUUCUCUGAGGAAAUUUGCAUCAUGCAGCAGCCGGAGGACUCUUGAGGACCGCUUCGCUGAGCCAUGGUCUGUUCAGCUGCCCCUGUGCUACUCCUGGCCAUGACUCUCCCCCUGGUGGGGUCACCAGUUGUGCAAGCAUCCCAACCUGGACAGAGUCAGGCUGGAGGGGAAUCGGGACAGCAACUGGACCAAAGGAGUGGAGCAGCAGCUGCCCCCUCUGCUCCUGUAGAAUCAGUCCUGGCCUCAGUCUAUGUACAGCUGGACUUGUCAAAUCAGACCUGGCCACUGGCGCUCUCCAAGACCCUGACUCACCCCCUUGCCUCGGAUUCCUCUUUCUCAAGAACUCUCACUGGCCUCAGCCUCACGACAGGUAGGGGGGAUUGUAAGG